UAACUACUCCCUCCAUCCCACAAUUCUUGUCUUAGGUUUGUCUAGAAGUGGAUGUAUCUAAAUACUAGAAUAUGACUAGAUACAUUCAUAUCUAGAAAAAUCUAAGACAAGAAUUUUUGGACGGAGGGAGUAUAUC
rfam:Hordeum vulgare subsp. vulgare, WGS project CAJW01000000 data, contig: morex_contig_2087915